GAUCCUGGCUCAGGACGAACGCUGGCGGCGUGCCUAAUACCCAUGCAAGUCGAACGAGAGCGACCGGUGCUUGCACUGGUCAAUCUAGUGGCGAACGGGUGAGUAACACGUGGGUAACCUGCCCAUCAGAGGGGGGAUAACAUUCGGAAACGGAUGCUAAAACCGCAUAGGUCCUUUAACCGCAUGGUUGAAGGAGGAAAAAGAGGCGCAAGCUUCUGCUGAUGGAUGGACCCGCGGUGCAUUAG
rnacentral:rRNA from 1 species